CAAACCAUUACGACCUCUGGUCGGACCACGACCCCUAGAUGGUUGUUGUACUGCCCUCUAAGGCUAAACAAAACCUGAACCGUGAACUUGCAUCUGAUCAGAAUGUUGUGGACACUCUCAAAUCCGAUAAUUCAACGGCCUACAACGCAGACAUGCUCCCAUCUACCCCAACACUCGUCCGAAUGACGCCCACAGUCGAUCAAAACAACUUAUGCGACCUUAGGGAAAAUUUUAAAAUUUUGGGGCCACAUGCCCUUGUGGCUUACCCAUUUGGGCCCACACGCCCAAAUUGGCUUGCCCGUGUGACCCACACGUCCUAGCCCGUGGCCCACAUGCUUGUAUGGGCCCACACACCCAAAUCAGCCUAGCCCGUUUGAUUCACACGACCACAAAUACUUUCGUCACAUGGCAGUGUGUUGCAUAUGGCCUACCCACGGCCUGGCACACACCUUUGUGGCGUCGACAAGCCACUUUAUUUUGUCACAUUUUCGUUACAAACUUGGUUCGUUUUUUACGCGGAAGCAAUCCUAAGUUUUCUGAAACCUAGAAACAGUACCCCAAACACUGAUUUAGCAAUCAAUUUCCUAAUCUAACACGAUUUAACCAAAUACAUAUAUAGACUUACCACUAACAAAUAUGACCACAACCCCGAAUCAGAUCAUUAGAGUGAAACUCACUGUUCACAGCCUUCUCCUACACAACAAUAAUUUCAAAAAAUUAAUCUCCCCAAACACACCAUUUCCCAAAAUAAAAAGAAUGAAAC
rnacentral:lncRNA from 1 species